AAGGCUUGAAUAACUGCCUCUAUGGCAGUUGACUUAAAAAGGCAUUUUUGUAUUCAGUUUCCUCCUUCAUUAACUACAUUUUUUCCAGCCUUUCAAUUUAUAUUAAUGUCACUAUGUAUGUAGUGAAAGAGUCAUCAACAAUUACUUUAAUCCAAAAUGUGAUGCAUUGUGUCAUGUUGCCUACUCUUCUACAGGGUGAUUGACCUCCUUAAUGUUUUGUUCAUGAAUUUUGACAGCAUACUAAGUGAACUUUUGCUUAAUUUGCUCAUGCAACAUAGCCGACAUUCUUGGUAGAGGUUGUCAUAAUCUUCUUGCACAUGCUGACAAUUCAAAUAUGAAUUCCUUAAAUCAUUUAUUUGCAGCUCUAUUCGAUGUGGGCACCUUGACUAUCAUGUUUAUGAAAAUUCCCCUUGAAAAUGGUGCUUAUCUUUUCUAUUUUAAUUGUGUUCUCCUUUUCUCUUGCUGCAUUUUUCUCCUCUUCCUUCCAGUCAUUCCAGUUGACAGUGAGUGUGAUUUCCAAGAUAUGUUAACAAUAUUGGCGAGAUGCUGUUGGUGUUGUAUCUGUAAGAAAGAUGUGUCAAGACAUUAGACCAUUGGAUUUUGCAUUGUUUAUUUGAACCAAUUCAGAUUUGUGGUUGCUUCUCUUUCAGCUAUCAGGGUUGUGUUUUAAAAAUUUAUGGUGUCUAUAGAGAAGGUCAGUGGUGCGAAAAGCAGCCUCUUUGAGCUUGUUGUAGACUUAUUGGAAAGAACGUAAUAGAGCUUUUGUGGUGGGGUGGGUAUGGAGAUCUCCGUGAGCAGGCUUUCGCAUCAGUUUUCUAGAAUUGUCUGUGUUUUUGUGUUUUAGCGGGUUGCAGCAAGUUGCUUUUUUAGGUUUGGUCUUGAAGGCAUGUAGCUUAGUUUUCCUUUUUUGUCUGGUUCGUUCCCCCUUUCUAGGUGUUCUGGUAUUGUGGGGGAUGUAUCUGGUUAGGGACUAAUUUCUUGGCCCCUUCAGUGGGUGUUUGUCUAUAGAGAACGGAUGCUGAUUUUCUACAAUUAGGAACUUCCUAGCAUGCAGAGUAAGUAUCCCUUGCCUUAGUGUACAAGAG
rnacentral:lncRNA from 1 species